GUCCAUGCCGUAAACGAUGAUUACUAGGUGUGGGAGGAUUGACCCCUUCCGUGCCGCAGUUAACACAAUAAGUAAUCCACCUGGGGAGUACGACCGCAAGGUUGAAACUCAAAGGAAUUGACGGGGGCCCGCACAAGCAGUGGAGUAUGUGGUUUAAUUCGAAGCAACGCGAAGAACCUUACCAGGUCUUGACAUCGGAUGCAUACCUAAGAGAUUAGGGAAGUCCUUCGGGACAUCCAGACAGGUGGUGCAUGGUUGUCGU
rnacentral:rRNA from 1 species